rnacentral:lncRNA from 1 species
UCUGACAGUACUGCCUGGAGCAUUUAUUAGACACUCUGAAGGCCUUUUCCAAAUGGUUUCUAAUUCAUUAGAAAGCUAAUUCAGCUGAAAGCCUAAUAUUUCUUGAUCUGCGAAGAAUUACUUAAUAUCUGUAACUAGAUUGAUCACUCCCUCAUUUGAAAGUACUUUACAUGUAUUAGUUUCACAGUCCUCAUUCAUUUGCUAUUAUUAAAAGGAAGGAACUAGAGGCAUUCUUGUGAGGGCCCUGCUACCACCUUCCCUACUGGUCCCUACCGGGUAUUGCUCUAUUUCUCUUAUUUAAUUCUCCAAACAGUCCAUCCUUGUAAAUAAAUAGCAGGUUACUAUAACUCCUGCCUUCUUCCCCAAUAGCCCCUGAGGCCCAAUCCUAUCAAAUAGUUUGAUGACCAUUCAACAAGUAGCAGUGUAAUAGAUUGUGAAUAUGUAGUUGCAUAUGUCGAUUGCAUAUAUGUAGUUGCAUAUGUCGAUUGCAUAUAUGUAGUUGCAUAUGUCGAUUGCACAUAUGUAGUUGCAUAUGUCGAUUGCAUAUAUGCAGUUGCAGAUAAAGAAGGCGCACCAUGAGCAGCUUAGCGGAAACUUCAUGGCUCAGUUCAUGCUUGCCGUCAGGAAGCCUGUUAAACAAAAAGUGGCAAGGUUUAUAGCAGAUAAAGUAGAAACCUUUUCCAUCUUGGCACCACUGUGUCCUCCCAUGUCUACAAAAAGCUUUGUGUCAGGUAUGGAAUUACUCUGUACCCAGAAAUUCUUGGCUGGGUGAUUCUCCAAAUAAGGAAGCUGGGUUUUUUUUUUUCAUAGUUUCUUCAGUUGGGGUUCUGAGUUGAUUUCUUUCUGCCUAUGCAACUUGGACCAAGUCAUUUUGUAUUUCUGAACUUUAAUUUACUUGGCUUUAAGAUGUGAACAAUGCCUGCUAUUCGGGUUUGUGUGUGUCAGAUAAUGUGUGCAGAAGUAUUAAGGCUGGAUAGGUGGACACAUGAUGGAUGGAUGGAUGAUGGAUGGAUAGAUGGAUGGAUGGAUGGGUAGGUAAGUAGGUAGGUAGAUGAUAGAUAAAUAGAUAAUAUAUGUUAGAUACAUACAUACAUAUAUAGAAAUAUGCAUACAUACAUACAUAGUCUUAGUUACUUUUUAUCGCUGUGACAAAGCAACUUAUAGAAGAAAGAUUAUUUGGGACAUACAGCCUCAGAUGGUUAGCUGAUGAGCAUCAUGGCAGGGAACAUGGCAGCAGGCAGGCAGGCAUGGCACUGGAGCAGUACAUAAACCAGAGAAGUAAGGUGUUCCCCAGAACACUUACCCUUUUCUAAAAAGGACGAAAGCUUAUAAUUUAUUUACCCUAUCCUAUUUCUCCUGAGAGAAAAAACUGUUCUUUCCUAGACGUUCUGUCCAGUGCUCAGCAUUUUUUCGAAGUCUACAGUAUGAGCCUUCAGAAAAAUAAUAGCUGUGUUGGAAGAAACAGUUUUUAUUACUGUAUUACAUCAUAUACUUUCUAAUGUCCGUGGGUUAGCUAUUUGUUUUAGAUUUUCCUCAGAGAGCUCCUAAAUAUAAAGGUUUUUUUUUUCCCCAUCCAUGGUUUCAAAUUUUUCUUCCAUAGUCUAGAGCAGUGGUUCUCAACCUGUGGGUCACAACCUCUUGAGGGUUGAAUAAGGAUUCUUUAACAGGGGUCACAUAUCAGAUAUCUUGCCCAGUAGAUUAUUUACGUUGGGAUUCCUAACAGUCACAAAGUUACAGUUGUGAAGUAGCAACAAGAAUAAUUUUAUGGCUAGGGGUCACCACAACAUAAGGAACUGUGUUAAAGGGUUGUCGCAUUAGAAAAUUAGUGGACCUCCUCCCACUGAAGCACAGGCAGAUAAUGUGUCACCGACAAGGCUGAGAAUGGACUCUCUGACAUCAAGAGCUUCCUCCCUCACAGCUUGCCAAGUUGAUAAGCUGGCACUUCAGCUUCCAAGACGGUUUAAGAAGCUGCCACUCUCCAUGAGCUGAGAAGCCAAACCGACCACUCCUGCUGCUGAAGGGCUCACACCAAGCACAAGGAGAAAACGGUGCUUCCAGACUCGGACUUAAACCUGAAGUGCUGUGCACUUCCUUGGUUAACUUAGUCAAUUCAUUGCCUCUUCUCAAAAUAUACCCUUUUUUUUUUUUUUUUAGCUCCGACAACUUUGGGCUUAAAAAUGCUCAUGUGGUUAGUGUCUUUUGUAUCCCCAUAUUGGUCUUUACAUAAUCAGAAAAAAAGGGGGGAGAGUUGCCUUUUGAGGUUCGCCCUUGUAUUAUACAUCUGGAAUCUUUUGUCCUCAGCAAGUUCAUCAAAGAAGCAAAUGGGAUGCCUGGAGUUUGUCCUGACAGGCUUUAGUCAGACCUAAAUCCCUCCAAUUAUUUUUCUGGAGAAAUUAAAACCUUUUUUUUCCUUUUAAGUCAAUAGAAAAGAUUCUAUUUUCAACGGAAUAGAGAAAUAGGACAAUAUUUGAAAACCCUGGUUCAGUGGAACUGACCUUGUGGUUUUCAUAGUGCCUCGGGCUUGCUGACAUUGAGCAGCUUGCUCUCAAAGACACACACCAGGCUAUUUUUCUACUUGUUAAAUUUUUUGGAAUGUUCCUCAUUAUAUUCAGUCCAGUUCUUGAGUCCAUGGGUCAGAGUUUCAGCUGUUAUAAUCUGACCUUGCUCAAUUUUAAAGGGUAGGAGAAUUCUAUCAUUCUCUUCUCCCUCCUCCUUUUCUUCUUCUAGUGAUAAAAAUAAAGAAAAGAAGGUUGGGUUUGGGUUUUUUUUUUUUUCAAUAUAGAGGAAAUAGGGCUGGUGGUGCAUACCUCUUAGUUAAUUCUGUUAGUACAUGACUAAAGUUCCAUGUCGGUGAGGACUCUCUGGAUACAUAUGAGUAACAACAGCAACAAAACAUCCCAAGAUGGCUAAUGUUGAAAGGGCUGUACUUAGUCACAUUGCUGUAAAGUCCAGGUGGUCUUCUAGUCAGGUGUUUAUAGCCAGGUGGUCUUCUAGCCAGGUGGUCUUCUAGCCAGGUGGUCUUCUAGCCAGGUGUUUAUAGCCAGGUGGUCUCCUAGCCAGGUGUUUAUAGCCAGGUGUUUAUAACCAGGUGUUUAUAGCCAGGUGGUCUUCUAGCCAGGUGGUCUAAUGCCAGGAUUAUUGAGCUCUGGUGUUUCCACCUUCCUUCCACAUGCUGGCAUUUACUCAAGUGAUUGUUGCCAAUUAAAACCAGACCAUAAGCUUUCUUUUUCUUUUUCAAAGUCUGUUGAAGAGAUUCUAUUUUCUGAAUAAAGAAACAGGACAAUCUUUGAAAACCCCAUCUCGGUGGAACUGACCUUGUGGGUUUUGUAGGCUUGCUGACCAACCCCGUGAUCCUUUCUCUGAGGCUCCCUAUGCUCCUUUCCGUUGGUUCCUUUUCCCUAAUAGGCUUACCCCACAGGUGGGGAGUUUCAUGACCAGUUCCUCAAAAGUUUGAUCCUACAUCAAAGAGAGCUAAUCCUUCCAUCUUGAAAGUGUGGUUUAAGUCCAAUCAGUUCAGAUCAGCCUGGUUUGCAUCAAUUGUCUCUCUCUAAGCCAGCCACAGAGGUAGAGGUAUGUGUGUCCUUUUCUAUGUGUGCUGUGGCAGGAAAGGGACUCUCAGCAUGGACAGUCAGAUUCCACUGGUAGGAAACAGGAUUCAUUUCUAAGCAGACAGAAAUAGUCACAAUAGCCAACUGGAUAAACUUGCUUGACCUUUCCAAUCCUGCCAAUGUCCAUUAGAAAUUAGUUACAUUAUAAGGGCAUUGAUGUCAGUCUUCAUGAUUAGUUUGAUGAGCUUUUAGACUCCCAAAUUUGAAGUAAAGAAGUGAACCCU